GAUGAACGCUAGCGGCAGGCCUAAUACAUGCAAGUCGAGGGAGAGGUUACGGUGGUUUAACCAAAACCGUCGCACGGGGGCGUAACGCGUAUACAAUCAUCCCUUCACAUAGGGAUAGGCCGAAGAAAUGUGGAUUAAUACCUAAUGGGAUAUAAAAGCUGCAUCGCUUUUAUAUUAAAUCUACGGUAGUUAAGGAUGAGUAUGCGUUCUGUUAGCUAGUUGGAUAGGUAACGGCUCACCAAGGCGACGAUAGAUAGGGGUUCUGAGAGGGAUGUCCCCCACACUGGUACUGCGAUCCGGACCCGAAUCCUACGGGAGGCAGCAGUGAGGAAUAUUGGACACUGGUGGGAAGACUGAUCCAGCCAUGCCGCGUGCAGGAUGAAGGUCAUCUGGAUUGUAAACUGCUUUUGUAAGGGAAGAAUAUAAGCUACGUGUAGUUUUAUGACGGUACCUUACGAAUAAGCAACGGCUAACUACGUG
rnacentral:rRNA from 1 species